UGAGGGGGGCUGCUCCUAGUACGAGAGGACCGGAGUGGACGCAUCACUGGUGUUCGGGUUGUCAUGCCAAUGGCACUGCCCGGUAGCUAAAUGCGGAAGAGAUAAGUGCUGAAAGCAUCUAAGCACGAAACUUGCCCCGAGAUGAGUUCUCCCUGAGACUUUAAGUCUCCUGAAGGAACGUUGAAGACGACGACGUUGAUAGGCCGGGUGUGUAAGCGCAGCGAUGCGUUGAGCUAACCGGUACUAAUGAACCGUGAGGCUUAACCUUAC
rnacentral:rRNA from 1 species